rnacentral:lncRNA from 1 species
AUUUUGACACAAGGUCUCACCAAGUUGCUGAGGUUGGCUUUGAACUUGUUAAUCCUCCUGCUUCAGACUCCUGAGUUGCUGGGAUUACAGGCUUGCAGCACCAUGCCCGGCUCGCUCCUUUCUUUCUUGAUCUUGAGACCUACAACAUGCAAGACGGUGGUAGGUCCUUUUCUUUUUCCAUCUCCCAGAGCACUGUUGACAAAUAACAAGGCUUCUUUUUUUUUUCCUUAUUUUACUAAUGAAUAAUGCACGACUUGUUAUCAGUCUCCUUGUUUUAAAGCACUUUUAAUAAGUGAAUCUGUUUAAUUGAUUCUACUUGAUUCCACAGUCACUGAGCUGGAAAUGGGACAAAAGGAGUGAAUUCAUGAUAAACCCAACUGCAUGGAUGAAUCUUUGAGAUGUUCUGCUGAGCAAAUGAAGACAGAUAGGAAACAGUGUGUUCUGCCUUAGCCCAAUGACAUGAAGUUUGACAACAGCCAACACUGUGCUGUCAGAAGGACUGCUGGUUGCCUCAGGUGGGCAUGAGGAUAUUGACUGCAAGGAGCACAAUGCGGCUUUCUGGGGUGAUACCAUGAUGACAGUUGUGGUAUGAGUAUAACACAAUGGAACUAAGUGCCAUCUGGGCCCAGGAGGAGACUAACUAAUCAGUGUUGCUUUAAAUGGUGGGAAGUCAAGAAGAGCUACUGUGAAACAUGAGCUGGACUGUGCACCGAAGGGUAAUUUAGAUGGAGGAACAGCCUGGGUGUGUUCCAUGAUCAGACGUUUAUCCCGUAUUUACUGUGUCCCAAGCCCUGAGGAUAGAGACACUAAUAGAGAGGAGCAGCCACUGGUCAGAAGGAGUUUACCACCCAAUGGAGGAGAAGAUCUGCAUAAUGUCACAGAAUGAGCAAAGGAAUGGAGGAAUGGACAUCCUCAGUGUUCAAAGGCAGAGAGUG